ensembl:snoRNA SNORD115 Small nucleolar RNA SNORD115
GGGUCAAUGAUGAGACCUCAUACUGUCUCGAAGAGAGAUGUGAACUUAAAAAUCAUGCUCAGUAGGAUUGCACUGAGGCCC